UACAGAGGUCUCAAGCGUUGUUCGGAUUCAUUGGGCGUAAAGGGUGCGUAGGCGGCGCCGUAAGUCAGGUGUGAAAUUUCGGAGCUUAACUCCGAAACUGCAUUUGAUACUGCGGUGCUUGAGGACUGGAGAGGAGAUUGGAAUUUACGGUGUAGCAGUGAAAUGCGUAGAGAUCGUAAGGAAGACCAGUGGCGAAGGCGGGUCUCUGGACAGUUCCUGACGCUGAGGCACGAAGGCCAGGGGAGCAAACGGG
rnacentral:rRNA from 1 species